GCCUCGGUGUCACAAACAGUUAAGCACUUGGCUGCUAACCAAAAUGUUGGUGGCUCAAAUCCACCUAGAGGCA
rnacentral:tRNA from 1 species